GUGGGGAAUCUUGCGCAAUGGGCGAAAGCCUGACGCAGCCAUGCCGUGUGAAUGAUGAAGGUCUUAGGAUUGUAAAAUUCUUUCACCGGGGACGAUAAUGACGGUACCCGGAGAAGAAGCUCCGGCUAACUUCGUGCCAGCAGCCGCGGUAAUACGAAGGGGGCUAGCGUUGCUCGGAAUUACUGGGCGUAAAGGGCGCGUAGGCGGACAGCUUAGUCAGAGGUGAAAGCCCAGGGCUCAACCUUGGAAUUGCCUUUGAUACUGGCUGUCUUGAGUUUGGGAGAGGUGAGUGGAACUCCGAGUGUAGAGGUGAAAUUCGUAGAUAUUCGGAAGAACACCAGUGGCGAAGGCGACUCACUGGCCCGUUACUGACGCUGAGGCGCGAAAGCGUGGGGAGCAAACAGGAUUAGAUACCCCUGUAGUCC
rnacentral:rRNA from 1 species